rnacentral:lncRNA from 1 species
AAAGGCCAGAGGACAGAGUAGACGCUGGCGGGUCACGUGACUCGAGUCUAGCGCUUACUGAGAUCGCAUUGCGGCUCCCGCCCCGGCGAGUUCUCGCCCCCGCGCGGCGGUUUCCGAGGUGACGGCGCAUGUCUUGCCUCGCGUUGCCCCCUCUGCAGUCCCCCCGCCCCGCUUCUCCCACCACAAUGAGGUCCUAAGAUGGCGGUGGCUGCGGCGGUUGGCGCCAAGUACCUAAAGUAGAAAGGCGGCCAUUGGGCUCUAGGCAGUCAGGGAACUUGUGGACCUCCCUGCUGCGGUCUCUAAGGGAGGAACGCUGCCAGUGGCGGGUCGUGGGGGCUGACCGCCACUGCGCCCUUGGCAGGAGCGGCUGCUUCGUUUACAGGCAGACAGUCCGCCCCUCCCCCGGGACCGACCGACGCGAUCUCCGAGACAACAACUUUAAAGUGUGAAGCAGAAAAGGAGCUGUUUCUGAGCUGCAAAACUUGUUUCUAAAUAGGUAAUUUGACAUUAUAUUUAUUAUUUUCCCUUGUAUUAUAGCUGA